GGAGCAUGACUGAGAGCUGUUGAGCUGGGCCAACAGAAAGGUAAUGAUCCCGGUGAUGUCAAUGAGAAGACACUUGAGCCAGUGGUGGGAAGACAAACAGGUUGGGACAAACAGAAAUGAAGCAUGAGAGAAAUUAUUUCAGCAACUGGAAGGACAUGGAAUGCUAG